AGCACUCUAGACGAACUGCCGUUGACAAAACGGAGGAAGGUGGGAUGACGUCAAAUCAUCAUGCCCUUAUGUUCUGGGCUACACACGUGCUACAAUGGCCGGUACAGACGGACGCAAAGCCGCGAGGUGGAGCAAAUCCUAAAAAAGCCGGUCUCAGUUCGGAUUGCAGGCUGCAAUUCGCCUGCAUGAAGUCGGAAUCGCUAGUAAUCGCAGGUCAGCAUACUGCGGUGAAUACGUUCCCGGGCCUU
rnacentral:rRNA from 1 species